GGCAAUGUUCACAACGAUCAAAUGCAGCAGAGACAUGUAAUAAUUAAUAGCAGUAGUAAUAACAGCAGUUGUCAUGUUUUUAGGGCUUACUAUACAUCGAAAGCUAUACUAAGUGCCUUACAUAAUUACCCCUCUUAAGUUUUAUAAUAGUCCUGUGACAUUGGUAUUCUAGGGACAAAUUAAGUAACUUUCCCACUACAUCUGGCACUUUCAUGGAGCUUCUGUACAAGAGGAAGGCAGGCCAUCAUAGGGUGAAGAGGACCCUACUGAAGCAAAUCGAAGAGUGCCGGAGGGGAGAAGGUGGAGGAGAUGAGGCCUGGAACUAGGGCAGCCACCUGUCAAGCAACAGAGCAUGGAGCCAGCAAAGGACAGAGGGCCAUACAGAUGGCCAGAGCCAAAGCACUCCACCCUAUUUCUGGU